GCUAAACGCGAAGAACCUUACCAAGGCUUGACAUGGAUUUCUAAGCGCGUGAAAGCGCGUGACCCUUCGGGGGACUUCCACAGGUGCUGCAUGGCCGUCGUCAGCUCGUGUCGUGAGAUGUUGGGUUAAGUCCCGCAACGAGCGCAACCCUUGUGACUAGUUGCCAGCGGGUCAUGCCGGGAACUCUAGUCAGACUACCCAGAUCAACUGGGAGGAAGGUGGGGACGGCGUCAGGUCAGUAUGGCCCUUACGCCUUGGGCUGCACACGUACUACAAUGCCCAGUACAAUGAGAACCGAUGCCGCGAGGUGGAGGAAAUCUGUAAAACUGGGCCCAGUUCGGAUUGGAGGCUGCAACUCGCCUCCAUGAAGUUGGAAUCGCUAGUAAUGGCGCAUCAUCCACGGCGCCGUGAAUACGUUCCCGGGUCUUGUACACACCG
rnacentral:rRNA from 1 species